rnacentral:lncRNA from 10 species
UAGCCUCCCAAAGUGCUGGGAUUACAGGUGUGAGCCACUGCACCUGGCCUAGAGACAGGAUCUUGCUCUGUUGUCCAGGCUGGAGUGCAGUGGUGCAAUCCUAGCUCACUGCAACCCCCAACUCCUGACUUCAAGAGAUCAUUUCUCCUCAGUCUUCAGAGCAGCCGGGACUACAGGUGCAUGCUACCAUGCCUGGCUAAGGUUUCUCUCAAAAGUGACACUGAGAUCUGAAGGGUGGCAAAAUGUCAUUUAGGAACAGGGGAAGAUAGGGCUGGGGGAGUCCUCCAGGCAAUAGAAACAGGAUUUAUGAAGAUGAGAUGGUGCCUGACACAAAGGGCUGGGAUGGGUGCAGAUUGGAAGCCACCAGAAGGCUCUAGCCCAAGAGAAGACUUGACACAUUGGCAGAUUCUUCUGGCUGCCUUGUGGAGUAGAGGACAGGAGAAGGUCAAGGGCAGGGGUGGGGAAUCCAGCCUGGAAGUGACUGCAGCCUAGCUGAGAGAGCCGUGGUGGCCAGGACCAGUGAGGCAGCAGCGUGGAUGGAGAGAGAGGAGGGAUGCAGAGAUGUUUAGGACAUGAGCUGGCUGGUGAUGGAUAGCAUGGGGCAGGCUGGUGGUGGUAAGGGGUCCAGGGUCCAGCUGCCACUAGGAGGGUGGGUAGGUUUGGGCACAAGCCCUUGUCUUUCUGAUCCUUGUUCAGGUGAGAUCCCCCUGCACAGAUUUCACCUGCUUUUUUUUUUUUUCCUGAGCCAUUUCAGACUGCCUCCUGGGGAUGCGGUCUGCAUGAUUUUAUUUAUUUAUUUAUUUAUUUAGACAGAGUCUUGCUCUGUUACCCAGGCUGGAGUGCAGUGGUGCGAUCUCGACUCACUGCAACCUCCGCCUCCUGGGUUCAAGUGAUCCUCCUGAUUCAGCCUCCUGAGUAGCUGGGAUUACAGGCACGCGCCACCACAUCUGGUUAAUUUUUGUAUUUUUAGUAGAGACAGGGUUUCACCAUGUUGGCCAGGCUGGUCUUGAACUCCUGGCCUCAAGUGAUCCACCUGCCUCAGCCUCCCAAAGUGCUGGGAUUAUAGGCGUGAGCCUCUGUCUACAGAAUCUUGUAGCCUACAAAAUCUUCUGGCCUCUGUCUGCAGAAUCUUCUCUCUACCCCGUGCUAGCCUCUCCUCUGACCCACUGGGAGUGUUAAGUCCAUUCUUCUGGACUUUUGCUCCAGCUGUGAUGAACACUAUGCUUCUACCUCAGUCCUGAGCCUGGACCCAGCUGUGCAAGCCUGGCCAGACCCCUCUCCCAGGGCUGGACACCAAUUUCAUGUCUUCAGGUCCUACUGUAAUCUAAACAGGCUACCCAGAAGAGAAUCCUGCCCCAGUCCAAGUGUGAGCAGACCUGGAGACUCUGGUGCUGAACUGUACCCCCUGAUGGCCAGCCUGGAUGUCACCUCUAUCCUGCUUGAGCCAGGCUCCCCAGAUCCCUGGACCACCUCCACUCCAGACCAGACACUGGGGAAGCUGCUGGUCCCACACCAUUUCUGAGUUUUCUCCUCUAUCCUUCUGCUUAAAGUUCCCUUCAAGGUCUUAAGUGCAAGUCAUCCCAGAAACCCAGGUAGGGGAGUAGAGAGGCCAGAUAUGGACAGGAAGGCUGCCAAGAAAGGGGUGUUAGUCGGGCACAAUGGCUCAGGUCUGUAAGCCCAGAACUUUGGGAGGCUGAGGCUGGAAGAUUGCUUGAACCUAGGAGGACUGCUUGAGACCAGCCUGGAUCACACCAUUGCACUCCAGCCAGAGAGAGAG